rnacentral:rRNA from 1 species
UACGUAGGGGGCAAGCGUUGUCCGGAAUUAUUGGGCGUAAAGAGCUCGUAGGCGGUCUGUUGCGUCCGCUGUGAAAACCCGGGGCUUAACCCCUGGCUUGCAGUGGAUACGGACAGACUAGAGGUAGGUAGGGGAGAAUGGAAUUCCCGGUGUAGCGGUGAAAUGCGCAGAUAUCAGGAGGAACACCGAUGGCGAAGGCAGGUCUCUGGGCCGAUACUGACGCUGAGGAGCGAAAGCGUGGGGAGCGAACAGG